rnacentral:sRNA from 1 species
GUAAGACCGGGGGGACGCGGCGGUAGCGGCGGCCGUUGCGAUUGAUUGCGCUGGUUACCUGCGGAGUCCACUUCCUUGGCCGCCCUUGCUACACUGGCUGAUUGUUGUGCAGCCGGCGCCAUGUCUGUGAGCGAGAUCUUCGUGGAGCUGCAGGGCUUUUUGGCUGCCGAGCAGGACAUCCGAGAGUUGAGCCAGAUCGGGAGAAAGGAUUUCAUCUGGAUGUAGAAGAUUAUCUCUCAGGAGUUCUAAUUCUUGCCAGUGAACUGUCGAGGCUGUCUGUCAACAGCGUGACUGCUGGAGACUACUCCCGACCCCUCCACAUCUCCACCUUCAUCAAUGAGCUGGAUUCUGGUUUUCGCCUUCUCAACCUGAAAAAUGACUCCCUGAGGAAGCGCUACGACGGAUUGAAAUAUGACGUGAAGAAAGUAGAGGAAGUGGUCUAUGAUCUCUCCAUCCGGGGCUUUAAUAAGGAGACGGCAGCAGCUUGUGUUGAAAAAUAGGAGGCUCUCCUUGCUCCUGGCCUUGCUGACCUCAGCGGUUGCCAGGAAGGGGUGAGCACAGAGUGCCUCUUACGGUAGUUAGGAUGCUCAGUUGCUAAACACUGCGCUUUAUUUUCUUAACCAGUUGUGGUGUGAGUAUCAGAAUUGAAACACUUUUUUGGGGGUAAAAAAUAUAGCCUUUACAUGGACAGAAUUUUUUUUGUUGUUUCAGUGAAUAUGCCUGUAAUUCAGUGUAUUUCAGUUCCGUCAGAAAGUGUAAAUGUUAGUUUCUUGGUAAAGUCCUUUUCUUGCUUACCUUGACUGUUGAUGUACUGAUUGAGAAGUUCAUUGUCUCGUUUGUGAUUCUUCCAGAUGUGAUGCUUGAUAUUUUCUAUAUGCGAGUUAGCCAUCCACACCCAGGCAUAGCCUGGAUACAGUAUAAAAAUAGAUAAUUAAAAAGAUGGUUGCCAAGCAAGGAAAACUUAUUUUAUAUUUUCCCUUCCUUAUUUUAAGCAUUGUGGGUAAAUCACAUGUUGAAUUCUUUUGCCAAGGGAAUUAUAGCCGCAGGUUCUCUCUCACUGCCAUCAAACUAUAAAAGAUUAAACUGCAAAGUCAAGCUCAACAGAUUAUUUUGGAAAG